rnacentral:rRNA from 1 species
UGAAUGGGCUAGGGGCCGAGAGGUUACUGAACCCUAUCAAACUAAGAAUGCCAGAUAAUUGUUUUCCGGGAGUCAGACGGCGUGAGAUAAGUUUCGUCGUCAAAAGGGAAAGAGCCCAGACCCACAGCUAAGGUCCCAAAGUAUAGUUAAGUGGAAAAGGAUGUGGGGUUGCCCAGACAACCAGGAUGUUGGCUUAGAAGCAGCCACUCAUUAAAAGAGUGCGUAAUAGCUCACUGGUCGAGUGACCCUGCGCCGAAAAUUCAACGGGGCUAAAUUAUACACCGAAGCUUGGGAUACCGCAAGGUAUGGUAGGAGAGCGUUCUGUAAGGAGUGAAGUGAGAGCGAAAGCGUUCGUGGACUUUACAGAAGUGAGAAUGCCGGAAUGAGUAGCGAGAAAUAUGUGAGAAUCAUAUUGGCCGAAAGUCUAAGGUUUUUGGAGGAAGGUUCGUCCGCUCCAAGUAAGUCGGGAGCUAAGGUGAGGCCUAACGGCGUAGCCGAUGCACAUACGGUAGAUAUUCCGUAACCACCGAAAGAUUUAAACACAGGGACACCUUGAAAGGGCAUAUCCCGGGAGUUGGUUUACCCGGGCGUAAGGGAUCGAAAUUUGAGUAGAGAAGUAUGUUUGGACGAGGGCGAGAAAAGCUGUGUGUAUAUUUUAGGUGCCCGUACCGCAAACCGACACAGGUGGACAGGAAGAGGAUUCUAAGGCCAACGGGAGAAGGGUAAUUAAGGAACUCGGCAAAUUGACCCCGUAACUUAGGGAUAAGGGGUGCUCAUAGGAAUAUGAGCCGCAGAGAAUAGGCCCAGGCAACUGUUUAUCAAAAACACAGGUCUCUGCCAAAUCGAAAGAUGAAGUAUAGGGGCUGACACCUGCCCGGUGCUGGAAGGUUAAGAGGAGGAGUGAGAGCUCCGAAUUGAAGCCCCAGUAAACGGCGGCCGUAACUAUAACGGUCCUAAGGUAGCGAAAUUCCUUGUCGGGUAAGUUCCGACCCGCACGAAUGGUGUAAUGAUCUGGGCACUGUCUCAAUUACCCGCCCGGCGAAAUUGUAGUACCGGUGAAGAUGCCGGUUACCCGCGACAAGACGGAAAGACCCCAUGGAGCUUUACUGCAGCUUGAUAUUGGGUUUCGGUAAUCUAUGUACAGGAUAGGCGGGAGACUAGGAAGUAAAGGCGCCAGCUUUUACGGAGUCGCCCUUGGGAUACCGCUCUUAGAUUGCUGGAAUUCUAACCUGCGGCCAUGAAACUGGUCGGGGAACAUUGUCAGGCGGGCAGUUUGACUGGGGCGGUCGCCUCCUAAAGAGUAACGGAGGCGCUCAAAGGUUGGCUCAGCACGGACGGAAACCGUGCCUCUGAGUGUAAACGCACAAGCCAGCCUAACUGCGAGGAUGACGGUCCGAGCAGUAACGAAAGUUGGAGUUAGUGAUCCGGCGGUAUGUG